AAAGAAAGAAAGGAACAAUGAAAGUAAAAUAAAGAACUUUCUAUUGGUCUCCUGCUUCUUGUUCGUUUCUUACUUUUUUUU
rnacentral:ribozyme from 1 species